rnacentral:rRNA from 1 species
UACGUAGGGGGCGAGCGUUGUCCGGAAUUACUGGGCGUAAAGCGCAUGUAGGCGGGCGACUAAGUCAGGGGUGAAAACCGUGGGCUCAACCUAGGAAUUGCGCUUGUGACUGGCGGGCUCGAGUACGGUAGAGGGGGGUGGAAUUGCCGGUGUAGGGGUGAAAUCCGUAGAUAUCGGCAAGAACGCCGGUGGGGAAGCCGGUCUCCUGGGCUGUUACUGACGCUGAGGCCCGAAAGCUGGGGGAGCGAACCGG